rnacentral:misc_RNA from 1 species
UCAAACUUGGUCAUUUAGAGGAAGUAAAAGUCGUAACAAGGUUUCCGUAGGUGAACCUGCGGAAGGAUCAUUACAAAUCCAUCACGUCUCACACUGAGACCUUUGUUGAACCAGUUUUGCAAGAGAGAAGAGGAGAGCCAAGGAGCGCGAGGGAGAGGAGAGCACGGUAGCGCAGGGAAGGUGGUGCGGUAACGCGCCACGCCCCUACUACGCGCGCCCCUCUCUCUCUCCCUCUCCUCCCGCACCUCUCUCUCUCUCUCUCUUGUACACCAACACUACUUCACUAGUAGACCUUCGUUACUGUUGUUGCUUAUAUGUACAUGUACAUUAUAACAAACGAACAACUUACAACAAUGGAUCUCUAGGCUCUUGCAUCGAUGAAGAACGCAGC